GACGAACGCUGGCGGCGUGCUUAACACAUGCAAGUCGAGCGGUAAGGCCCUUUCGGGGGUACACGAGCGGCGAACGGGUGAGUAACACGUGGGUGACCUGCCCUUAGCUCUGGGAUAAGCCUGGGAAACUGGGUCUAAUACCGGAUAUGACUCCAUGACGCAUGUUGUGGGGUGGAAAGCCUUGUGCGGCUAGGGAUGGGCCCGCGGCCUAUCAGCUUGUUGGUGGGGUGAUGGCCUACCAAGGCGACGACGGGUAGCCGGCCUGAGAGGGCGACCGGCCACACUGGGACUGAGACACGGCCCAGACUCCUACGGGAGGCAGCAGUGGGGAAUCUUGCGCAAUAGGGCGAAAAGACCUGACGCAGCGACGCCGCCGUGAGGGAGUGAC
rnacentral:rRNA from 1 species